rnacentral:rRNA from 1 species
GACGUAGGGCGCAAGCGUUGUCCGGAUUUAUUGGGCGUAAAGAGCUCGUAGGCGGCUUGUCGCGUCUGCUGUGAAAACUGGAGGCUCAACCUCCAGCCUGCAGUGGGUACGGGCAGACUAGAGUGCGGUAGGGGAGAUUGGAAUUCCUGGUGUAGCGGUGGAAUGCGCAGAUAUCAGGAGGAACACCGAUGGCGAAGGCAGAUCUCUGGGCCGUAACUGACGCUGAGGAGCGAAAGCAUGGGGAGCGAACAGG